GGGGAUUUGGCUCAGCGGCAUAAGCGCCUGCCUUGCAAGCAGGAAGUCGUGAGUUCAAUCCCCA
rnacentral:tRNA from 1 species